rnacentral:tRNA from 2 species
GUUUUUAUAGUUGAAAACAACAGUGGUUUUUCGUAUCACAGGUCUUGGUUUUAGUCCGAGUAAAAACG